rnacentral:rRNA from 1 species
AAUUUGCUUGUCUCAAAGAUUAAGCCAUGCAUGUCUAAGUAUAAGCAAUUAUACAGCGAAACUGCGAAUGGCUCAUUAUAUAAGUUAUCGUUUAUUUGAUAGUACCUUACUACUUGGAUAACCGUGGUAAUUCUAGAGCUAAUACAUGCUAAAAAUCCCGACUUCGGAAGGGAUGUAUUUAUUAGAUUAAAAACCAAUGCCCUCUGGGCUCCUUGGUGAUUCAUGAUAACUCUUCGAAUCGCACGGCCUUGCGCCGGCGAUGGUUCAUUCAAAUUUCUUCCCUAUCAACUUUCGAUGUUUGGGUAUUGGCCAAACAUGGUUGCAACGGGUAACGGAGGGUUAGGGCUCGACCCCGGAGAAGGAGCCUGAGAAACGGCUACUACAUCCAAGGAAGGCAGCAGGCGCGCAAAUUACCCAAUCCCGAUUCGGGGAGGUAGUGACAAUAAAUACUGAUACAGGGCUCUUUUGGGUCUUGUAAUUGGAAUGAGUACAAUUUAAAUCCCUUAACGAGGAACAAUUGGAGGGCAAGUCUGGUGCCAGCAGCCGCGGUAAUUCCAGCUCCAAUAGCGUAUAUUAAAGUUGUUGUGGUUAAAAAGCUCGUAGUUGAACCUUGGGCCUGGCUGGCCGGUCCGCCUCACCGCGUGCACUGGUCCGGCCGGGCCUUUCCCUCUGUGGAACCCCAUGCCCUUCACUGGGCGUGGCGGGGAAACAGGACGUUUACUUUGAAAAAAUUAGAGUGCUCCAGGCAGGCCUAUGCUCGAAUACAUUAGCAUGGAAUAAUGAAAUAGGACGCGUGGUUCUAUUUUGUUGGUUUCUAGGACCGCCGUAAUGAUUAAUAGGGACAGUCGGGGGCAUCAGUAUUCAAUUGUCAGAGGUGAAAUUCUUGGAUUUAUUGAAGACUAACUACUGCGAAAGCAUUUGCCAAGGAUGUUUUCAUUAAUCAGGAACGAAAGUUAGGGGAUCGAAGACGAUCAGAUACCGUCGUAGUCUUAACCAUAAACUAUGCCGACUAGGGAUCGGACGAUGUUAUUUUUUGACGCGUUCGGCACCUUACGAGAAAUCAAAGUGCUUGGGCUCCAGGGGGAG